UACGGAGGGUGCAAGCGUUGCUCGGAAUUACUGGGCGUAAAGGGUGCGUAGGCGGCUUUUUAAGUCUGACGUGAAAGCCCAAGGCUCAGCCUUGGAAGUGCGCCAGAAACUGAAAGGCUAGAGUGCCGGAGGGGAGAGUGGAAUUCCUGGUGUAGCGGUGAAAUGCGUAGAUAUCGGAAGGAACACCAGUGGCGAAAGCGGCUUCCUGGUCCAGCACCGACGUUCAGGCACGAAAGCGUGGGGAGCAAACAGG
rnacentral:rRNA from 1 species